rnacentral:rRNA from 1 species
UACGUAGGGGGCGAGCGUUGUCCGGAUUUAUUGGGCGUAAAGGGUGCGUAGGUGGCGCCGUAAGUCGGGUGUGAAAUUUCGGAGCUUAACUCCGAAACUGCAUUCGAUACUGCGGUGCUUGAGGACUGGAGAGGAGACUGGAAUUCAUGGUGUAGCAGUGAAAUGCGUAGAGAUCAUGAGGAAGACCAGUGGCGAAGGCGGGUCUCUGGACAGUUCCUGACACUGAGGCACGAAGGCCAGGGGAGCAAACGGG